AUUGAACGCUGGCGGCAUGCUUUACACAUGCAAGUCGAACGGCAGCGCGGGCUUCGGCCUGGCGGCGAGUGGCGAACGGGUGAGUAAUACAUCGGAACGUGCCCAGUAGUGGGGGAUAGCUCGGCGAAAGCCGGAUUAAUACCGCAUACGACCUGCGGGUGAAAGCGGGGGAUCUUCGGACCUCGCGCUAUUGGAGCGGCCGAUGGCAGAUUAGCUAGUUGGUGGGGUAAAGGCCUACCAAGGCGACGAUCUGUAGCUGGUCUGAGAGGACGACCAGCCACACUGGGACUGAGACACGGCCCAGACUCCUACGGGAGGCAGCAGUGGGGAAUUUUGGACAAAGGGCGAAAGCCUGAUCCAGCAAUGCCGCGUGUGUGAUGAAGGCCUUCGGGUUGUAAAGCACUUUUGGCGGGAACGAAAAGGACUGUGCCAAUACCACGGUUCGAUGACGGUACCCGCAGAAUAAGCACCGGCUAACUACGUG
rnacentral:rRNA from 1 species